rnacentral:misc_RNA from 1 species
UCAAACUUGGUCAUUUAGAGGAAGUAAAAGUCGUAACAAGGUCUCCGUUGGUGAACCAGCGGAGGGAUCAUUACCGAGUUUCUACUCUCCAACCCAAUGUGAACCUUACCCGUCGUUGCUUCGGCGGGAGUGCCCCGGCGCCCCUCGGGGGCUAGCCCGGAACCAGGCGCCCGCCGGAGGACCACCAAACUCCAUGUUUUACAACCUAACUGUACCGUCUGAGUGGCAUAAGCAAAAAAUGAAUCAAAACUUUCAACAACGGAUCUCUUGGCUCUGGCAUCGAUGAAGAACGCAGC